rnacentral:rRNA from 1 species
AUUGAACGCUGGCGGCAGGCCUAACACAUGCAAGUCGAGCGGUAGAGAGAAGCUUGCUUCUCUUGAGAGCGGCGGACGGGUGAGUAAUGCCUAGGAAUCUGCCUGGUAGUGGGGGAUAACGCUCGGAAACGGACGCUAAUACCGCAUACGUCCUACGGGAGAAAGCAGGGGACCUUCGGGCCUUGCGCUAUCAGAUGAGCCUAGGUCGGAUUAGCUAGUUGGUGAGGUAAUGGCUCACCAAGGCGACGAUCCGUAACUGGUCUGAGAGGAUGAUCAGUCACACUGGAACUGAGACACGGUCCAGACUCCUACGGGAGGCAGCAGUGGGGAAUAUUGGACAAUGGGCGAAAGCCUGAUCCAGCCAUGCCGCGUGUGUGAAGAAGGUCUUCGGAUUGUAAAGCACUUUAAGUUGGGAGGAAGGGCAGUAAAUUAAUACUUUGCUGUUUUGACGUUACCGACAGAAUAAGCACCGGCUAACUCUGUGCCAGCAGCCGCGGUAAUACAGAGGGUGCAAGCGUUAAUCGGAAUUACUGGGCGUAAAGCGCGCGUAGGUGGUUCGUUAAGUUGGAUGUGAAAUCCCCGGGCUCAACCUGGGAACUGCAUUCAAAACUGUCGAGCUAGAGUAUGGUAGAGGGUGGUGGAAUUUCCUGUGUAGCGGUGAAAUGCGUAGAUAUAGGAAGGAACACCAGUGGCGAAGGCGACCACCUGGACUAAUACUGACACUGAGGUGCGAAAGCGUGGGGAGCAAACAGG